rnacentral:rRNA from 1 species
AACGAACGCUGGCGGCAUGCCUAACACAUGCAAGUCGAACGGAACCUUCGGGUCUAGGGGCGGUCGGGUGCGUAACGCGUGGGAACCUGCCCGUAGGUUCGGAAUAACUGCCCUAAAGGGAUGCUAAGAACGGUGAGUGUCAUCGGAGCAAAGACUUAUUGCCGUUGGAUGGGCGCGGGUUAGAUUAGCUGGUUGGGAGGGUAAAAGCAUACCAACGCGACGAUCGAUAGCUGGUCUGAGAGGAUGAUCAGUCACACUGGGACUGAGACACGGCCCAGACUCCUACGGGAGGCAGCAGUGGGGAAUAUUGGACGAGGGGCGAAAGCCUGAUACAGCCAUGCGGCGUGAGUGAUGCAGGCCUUAGGGUUGUAAAGCUCUUUUACACGGGAUGAUAAUGACAGUACCGGGAGAAUAAGCUCCGGCUAACUACGUG